rnacentral:rRNA from 1 species
UACGUAAGGGGCAAGCGUUAUCCGGAAUUAUUGGGCGUAAAGCGUCCGCAGGUGGCGCAAUAAGUCUGUCAUUAAAUACCGGUGCUCAACAUCGGUGCUGUGAUGGAAACUGUUGUGCUUGAGGAUGGGAGAGGUAUAUGGAAUUGCACAAGUAGGGGUAAAAUCCGUAGAUAUGUGCAGGAACACCAAAAGCGAAGGCAGUAUACUGGACCAUUCCUGACACUCAGGGACGAAAGCGUGGGGAUCAAAACGG